UACGUAGGUGGCAAGCGUUGUCCGGAAUUAUUGGGCGUAAAGCGCGCGCAGGCGGUCCUUUAAGUCUGAUGUGAAAGCCCACGGCUCAACCGUGGAGGGUCAUUGGAAACUGGGGGGACUUGAGUACAGAAGAGAAGAGUGGAACUCCACGUGUAGCGGUGAAAUGCGUAGAGAUGUGGAGGAACACCAAUGGCGAAGGCGACUCUUUGGUCUGUAACUGACGCUGAGGCGCGAAAGCGUGGGGAGCAAACAGG
rnacentral:rRNA from 1 species